rnacentral:rRNA from 1 species
AGAGUUUGAUCCUGGCUCAGAACGAACGCUGGCGGCGUGCCUAACACAUGCAAGUCGAACGAUGAGGCCACUUCGGUGGUACAUCAGUGGCGCACGGGUGAGUAACGCGUGGGUAAUCUACCCUUCAGUUAUGGGAUAACUAUCUGAAAAGAUAGCUAAUACCUUAUACAGCCUUUAAGUUUAUUCUUUUUGGUGAAAGGCUAUUUCGCAAGAUUUAGUUGCUGAUGGAUGAGCCCGCGUCGGAUUAGCUAGUUGGUGGGGUAAUGGCCUACCAAGGCAACGAUCCGUAGCUGGUUUAAGAGGAUGAUCAGCCACACUGGGACUGAGACACGGCCCAGACUCCUACGGGAGGCAGCAGUGGGGAAUAUUGGACAAUGGGCGAAAGCCUGAUCCAGCGACGCCGCGUGGAGGAUGAAGCCUUUCGGGGUGUAAACUCCUGUCAGAAUGGGAGGAAGACAUGUUUACAUGUUUGACGUUCCCGUCAGAGGAAGCACCGGCUAACUACGUGCCAGCAGCCGCGGUAAUACGUAGGGUGCGAGCGUUGUUCGGAAUUACUGGGCGUAAAGCGCGUGUAGGUGGUUAUGUAAGUCAAGUGUGAAAGCCCUUAGCUUAACUAAGGAAUUGCGCUUGAAACUACCUAACUUGAGUGCAGGAGAGGGAAGUGGAACUUCCAGUGUAGCGGUGAAAUGCGUAGAGAUUGGAAGGAACACCGGCGGCGAAGGCGGCUUCCUGGACUGCUACUGACACUGAGGCGCGAAAGCAUGGGGAGCAAACAGGAUUAGAUACCCUGGUAGUCCAUGCCGUAAACAAUGGGCACUAGGUGUGGGGCGACAAUAAGUUCCGUGCCGAAGCUAACGCAUUAAGUGCCCCGCCUGGGGAGUACGGUCGUAAGGCUGAAACUCAAAGGAAUUGACGGGGGCCCGCACAAGCGGUGGAGCAUGUGGUUUAAUUCGAUGCAACGCGAAGAACCUUACCGGGGCUUGAACUGUUUAAGAUCCAUCUAGAAAUAGGUGUUUAUAUCUUUUUGGGUAUACUUUUAUAGAGGUGCUGCAUGGCUGUCGUCAGCUCGUGUCGUGAGGUGUUGGGUUAAGUCCCGCAACGAGCGCAACCCUCACCCCUAGUUGCCAGCACAUAAUGGUGGGAACUCUAGGGGAACUGCCGUCGAUAAGACGGAGGAAGGUGGGGAUGACGUCAAGUCCUCAUGGCCUUUAUGUCCCGGGCUACACACGUGCUACAAUGGGUGGUACAGAGGGUCGCGAUACCGUGAGGUGGAGCCAAUCCUUAAAACCGCUCUCAGUUCGGAUUGGAGUCUGCAACUCGACUCUAUGAAGUUGGAAUCGCUAGUAAUCGCGGAUCAGCAUGCCGCGGUGAAUACGUUCCCGGGCCUUGUACACACCGCCCGUCACACCAGGAAAGCCGGUUGUUCUGGAAGUCACUGAGCUAACCUUUCGGGGAGGCAAGUGCCCAAGGAAAAAUCGGUGAUUGGGGUGAAGUCGUAGCAAGGUA